ensembl:lncRNA
UCCUCUGUCUCCAUCUCAGAUCAGUCCUCCCUCCCUCCUCUGGCUCCGUCUCAUAUCAGUCCUCCCUCCAUCCUCUGGCUCCGUCUCAGAUCAGUCCUCCCUCCCUCCUCUGGCUCCGUCUCAUAUCAGUCCUCCCUCCUCUGACUCCGUCUCAGAUCAGUCCUCCCUCCCUCCUCUGGCUCCGUCUCAGAUCAGUCCUCCCUCCCUCCUCUGGCUCCGUCUCAGAUCAGUCCUCCCUCCUCUGACUCCGUCUCAGAUCAGUCCUCCCUCCUCUGGCUCCGUCUCAUAUCAUUCCUCCCUCCUCUGGCUCCGUCUCAUAUCAGUCCUCCCUCCUCUGACUCCGUCUCAGGUCAGUCCACCAUCCCUCCUCUGGCUCGGUCUCAUAUCAGUCCUCCCUCCUCCGGCUCCGUCUCAGAUCAGUCCUCCCUCCUCUGGCUCCGUCUCAUAUCAGUCCUCACUCCUCUGGCUCCGUCUCAGAUCAGUCCUCCCUUCUCUGGCUCCAUCUCAGAUCAGUCCUCCCUCCCUCCUCUGGCUCCGUCUCAUAUCAGUCCUCCCUCCAUCCUCUGGCUCCGUCUCAGAUCAGUCCUCCUUCCCUCCUCUGGCUCCGUCUCAUAUCAGUCCUCCCUCCUCUGGCUCUGUCUCAUAUCAGUCCUCCCUCCUCUGGCUCCGUCUCAUAUCAGUCCUCCCUCCUCUGACUCCGUCUCAGGUCAGUCCACCCUCCCUCCUCUGGCUCGGUCUCAUAUCAGUCCUCCCUCCUUUGGCUCGGUCUCAUAUCAGUCCUCCCUCCCUCCUCUGGCUCUGUCUCAGAUCAGUCCUCCAUCCUCUGGCUCCGUCUCAAAUCAGUCCUCCCUCCUCUGGCUCCGUCUCAGAUCAGUCCUCCCUCCUCUGGCUCCGUCUCAUAUCAGUCCCCC